CCGAGAGACGUCCGUCCUCUCGAGGCUGUGUCAGGAUGUCCAGCUCGACGCGGACCCGGAGCCCCACGGGCCGAAGCUGGUGCCUCCGGACCUUCAGACGCCUGCUGUGAAAUAACACCUGGCACCUUUUCCUUGGCCUCUGCAGGAAGCAGCCUCACUGUUCCCGGAUUCUAGAAAUGCUGGAAACACUUCCGAGGCCUCUGUGGAGUCAAGUCCUACGUGGUUUUGCCCUUUCUCACCUGGGGCCUUUCCCUCUCUUUCUUGUUUGCACUCUCUUUGCUUGACCUUCUCUAGCGACCAGCUCUGAAGUGCAUCUCUUUAUGCUUCUACCCAAGUUUCCCUGCUGCCCGGGAGCGGUGAAGAGACUGCCAUUUCCUGCCUUGUGUCUGUGGGCCAGGGACUUACAUAUGCUAAUUAUUAUCCUCACCCUUGGGCCGUCAUUAUCCUGACUUUACAGACACUUACGGUCACCGAAGCUCAGAGAGGUUGACUGGCUUGUCUGAGGUCACAAAGCUGGCAGCUGACAGAAACAGAAAUUGAAUCCUUAUUAGUCAGUCUCUUGGCACCUGGGCUACUCUACGCCCCUGCCUGGGGCCUUGGCUGUCCACCUCCUGUCCCCCACCCUCCCUCCUGGCCCCUGCUCUUCACCAUGUCUUCACCUUGACCUGGCGUCACUGUCCAGGAGCAGGAGCAGGAGAUGCCUCCACUGCAGUGAAGAGGAAGGAAGGGAGUGUGACGUAUCAUCGACAUGCUCACAGCAUCACAAACCACCAAGGUCCUCAGUGACACGUGACAAUGCGCUAGGCCUCCCUGCUCCAUUGGCUCCAGGCUUGCCCACAUGACUCGCUUAGGCAGCGGGCAUCCGGGAGGACUCACACGGGACAGUUCUGAGAAGAACUUGUCUGUGGGCCAGGGACUUACAUAUGCUAAUUGACUUCUUACACUUCUGCAAGCUUGAGAAGAAGCUUCCUCGGAGCAGCUGCUGCCCCUCCGGCCUGGGCCCAGCCCGCAUACGCCUGGAGGAGAGUCAUUCCUGAGCUCAGUGGGGAGAAGCUGAGGCUUCCGGUCACACCCAGCCUGGAACAGUGACUCCAAGCCACGUGCAGACGCUGAGCGAUGCCAAAUGAGGUGGCUCGAUAGGUCGGGAUGAGCCAGAAGGACAGGAAGCUUCCAGAAGAGCUUUACCAUGGAUACCCCAGCUCUGGAACCAGUUUCAAUCCCAGCCCCGGCCUUUGCUUGCUGAAGGCCAUCCAUACUGCCCAUGGGAACCAGCAUGAGCCACGUGUGGCCCCAGACUCAGGACACAGCGUGUAACCUGCCUGUCAUCUUCCCACUUGCGGCCUCUCCUACCAGCACUGGAGAAACAUGUUCUCAAUUUCCUUUCAUCUUUCUCCACCACCCAGGCUAUAUAGCGAUAAGAAAAUAAUUUUGACAAGGG